AUGCCUCCUUGGUUCCAGAUUGGGAUCUGGUCGCCGUCGUGCGAGAGCAGGGCAACAGGGUCUUCGCGGAGGAGUGGAGGGGGAGGAUGCGGACGACAGGGCGAAGGAGGUGGCUGGCAAGGAGGACAAGCAGCAGGGGGGGAGAAGGGUGACGCCUUGCACACCGUCUCCUCCCCGCGGCGGUUGGCCGGUCGACUCGUCGCGCCACCGCGUCCUCACCUCCCCUGCGCCAUGAGAGGCGCCGUCUCUGCUUCCACCCCCGCUUCCUGCUUCCUUCCUCCUUGGCACCACAGCUGCCGCUCUACUCCCUCCCUUGUCAGCCACCGGCUCAGGAACCUCCCUCGGUUGGGCCAGGGCAGAAGGCCAUGGCGAAUCUUGCGCCCCUGGAAGAAGCAGCAGGGUUGGUGGAGCGUCGAAUACGGGCGGGGUCAACGGUUGAGGGAGGGUCGCCCACCGAAGCAGCAGGAGAAAGACCUUGAGUGA
rnacentral:rRNA from 1 species